GCCGCUGCUAACUAGAACAUAAUCUGAUGGCUGAAGAUAGAGGGGGGACACAAAAAUCAGUCACAAAAUAGAGUUUGGUAAACUUUAUAACAAAUUUAUGAAAUAAUGUGAAAGUAUUAAAAAAAUGAGAAAGUUAAAACAGUAUUUUUGGAAUGAGAUGCCUUUGGAAAAGAAAUGACAGUUGAGCUGGGAACCACCUACUGGGAGUAUUUUCAUCACUUCCAAAACCAAGAUACCCCUAUGUGCAGGUUCUUGUCUAUUUUAUAACCCAUGCAAACAGUAUUCUGCAGUUUGUUCACUUCGAGAAGAUAUUUAAUAGCUGCUUCUGCAGUUGAAAAGUUGAACCUGUAAUUGGAAGGCACGAGUUUGUCCUCAGAGCACAGAAGCUGGAAUUGUGACUUCCUUCUUACCUCUUCUGCGCCCUACUCACACAAUGACCAACGAGGUUUGCAGUCUGCGUUUGUGGCUAGAAGGGCAGUGAAGACAAUACCUAUAUAUGACCAUCAGCUUAGAAAAAAAGAGGCCUUAAGUAAACUAGCCAAUUGAUUGGUCCUUAAAGAAUCAAGAAAGAAGAUUCAACAAUAGUCACAUAAAAAUAAGAAGAGCAUCAGUCCUGUCUUUCUUGCCCUGAAUCCUGCCAGUGCCACCCAAGUUUGCCUCUUGUCAGUAGUGCUUCCUUCUCUGGCAGACAUCUUCAGAGGAGAAAACAGGUGGCACCGAUCCAAGCAUGUGUGAUAAUAGACAUGCCUGGUUUCCUAGGUAGGCAAAGAAGCAGCAGCUGUGGUUAUAUCUCCAUGUAGCUGGGGAGAAGAAAGAAAGAAAAGGAAGAGAUGAAUUUAAUGAAAUUGAACAAACUCUUCAGUUUCCCCAAGUCACCAAUACAAUAGAAGAUAUGCUGGGUGAACUGCUUUUCUAAAACAAAUUUUAAUUUAUUUUGUUAUUAUUAGUCACUUAUCGGUGCCUAUAAAACUGUUGUUUAUCUAUAUGCUUGCUAUGGACUUUGUGAUAAUUCCUUUGGAUGUGUAAUGUGUCUUAGUUCUUUACAUAAAAUAAAG
rnacentral:lncRNA from 1 species